GGAGGGAACCCUGCUGAAGGCUGCCUUUGUGCUCAUCAGGUAUUUUAGUAGAACUGUAGUUUGAGCCAUUCAGAUUAGUCUUAAAAGCCAUCCACAGCGUUUGGAGAAUUCCUUUCUGUCAGCACAUGCCAGCGGACACGAGGUAGCCAUGGUAUGGAGGACAGUCUGACUAACCCUAUGUGACCCUUCCAACCUGGAUGGACCUUCAUCUAUCAAGUUCCACAUCCUUGUACCUUGUAUAAAGACACCUUGGAGGGUGAGAGGCCCUGAUCAACACCUUGGUCACUGCACAAGUACAGAGGAAGGAUCAGUCACAGACAGCAGGCAAAUCUUAACACCGCUGGAAAAGGGAUACCGAGCAACCUUGUUUGGCCAGCAUUGCAGGAGCAGAAAGUCUACAGUGACAGAGGCAAUGGAGUCUCCUGAGACUUGCAAAAACUGGUCACUGCUGUGUGUAGGUGUGCAUUUAAUUGCACCCUGAGGUAUCAGCCUUCUUCCAACAGAGGUCUGGGCUCUCCUCAGUACCAAAAUGGGCCUCUUACAGUCAGCUGGCAUAUCUGUUCUCUAGCCCGCUUCAGGGUUGCUCUUAAGUUACACUGAGGCUGAAAUUGGAGGGACG
rnacentral:lncRNA from 1 species